AACGAACGCUGGCGGCAGGCCUAACACAUGCAAGUCGAGCGAGACCUUCGGGUCUAGCGGCGGACGGGUUAGUAACGCGUGGGAACGUGUCCUUCUCUGCGGAAUAGCCACUGGAAACGGUGAGUAAUACCGCAUACGCCCUUCGGGGAAAGAUUUAUCGGAGAAGGAUCGGCCCGCGUUAGAUUAGAUAGUUGGUGGGUAACGGCCUACCAAGUCUACGAUCUAUAGCUGGUUUUAGAGGAUGAUCAGCAACACUGGGACUGAGACACGGCCCAGACUCCUACGGGAGGCAGCAGUGGGGAAUCUUAGACAAUGGCGCAAGCCUGAUCUAGCCAUGCCGCGUGUGUGAUGAAGGUCUUAGGAUCGUAAAGCACUUUCGCCAGGGAUGAUAAUGACAGUACCUGGUAAAGAAACCCCGGCUAACUCCGUG
rnacentral:rRNA from 1 species